UUAAGAUACUAAGGGCGUAUGGUGGAUGCCUUGGCACGAGAAGGCGAUGAAGGACGUGGUCAGCUGCGAUAAGCCUCGGGGAAGUGCAAACAACUGUAGAUCCGGGGAUGUCCGAAUGGGGCAACCUAUCCGCCGUUAUGGGCGGAUACUCUCUGCUGAACACAUAGGCAGAUGAGGGCGAACGAGGAGAAUUGAACCAUCUAAGUACUCUCAGGAAAAGAAAGCAAUAGCGAUUCCCCUAGUAGCGGCGAGCGAAAAGGGAAAAGCCUAAACCAAUCUUAUGUUAAAGCCUGUGUGCGUUGUAAGAUUGGGGUUGCGGGAUUUAGCUGGAAACCUGCACAGAGGUUUCGGAAAGUCAAAAAAUUAAUUCAUAGCUGAAUGGCACUGGAAAGGCCUGCCAUAGAAGGUGAAAGCCCCGUAGGCGAAAUGAAUUAAUCUUUCUGGGCUAAAUUCCCAAGUACCGCGGGACACGAGAAAUCCUGUGGGAAUCCGGGUAGACCAUUACCCAAGGCUAAAUACUCUCUCGUGACCGAUAGUGAACCAGUACCGUGAGGGAAAAGUGAAAAGAACCCCAGAAGGGGAGUGAAAUAGAACCUGAAACCAUACGCUUACAAGCAGUUGGAGUCCCGACUUGUCGGGAUGACAGCGUGCCUUUUGAUUAAUGAGCUGGCGAGUUGCUCAUGCGUUGCAAGGUUAAUCCGCUUUUAGCGGAGAAGCCGUAGCGAAAGCGAGUCUGAAUAGGGCGUUUAGUAACGUGUGGCAGACGCGAAACCGGGUGAUCUAUCCAUGGCCAGGGUGAAGCGAUCGUAACAGAUCGUGGAGGCCCGAACCCACUAACGUUGAAAAGUUAGGGGAUGAGCUGUGGAUAGGGGUGAAAGGCCAAUCAAACUCGGUGAUAGCUCGUACUCCUCGAAAUAGCUUUAGGGCUAGCCUCGUUUUAGAGUGUAACGGAGGUAGAGCACUGAAUGGGCUAGGGCUCUCACAAGGGUACCAAACCCAAUCAAACUCCGAAUGCCGUUACAUGUUGAACGGGAGUCAGGCUGCGGGGGAUAAGCUUCGUAGCCGAGAGGGAAACAACCCAGACCACCAGCUAAGGUCCUUAAAUAUAAGCUAAGUGCAAAAGGAUGUAGAGUUGCACAGACAGCCAGGAGGUUGGCUCAGAAGCAGCCACCCUUUAAAGAGUGCGUAAUAGCUCACUGGUUAAGCGACUUUGCGCCGAUAAUGUAACGGGACUCAAGCUUAUUACCGAAGCUGUGGACCCAUCCCGACUCGUCGGGUUGGGUGGUAGAGGAGCAUUCCAUUAACCGAUGAAGGUCAAUCGUGAGAUUGGCUGGAGGAGAUGGAAGAGAGUAUGCCAGCAUGAGUAGCGAUAAAUACCGUGAGAAACGGUAUCACCGAAAGCCUAAGGUUUCCUGAGCAAUGUUAAUCAACUCAGGGUUAGUCGGCCCCUAAGGCGAGGCCGAAAGGCGUAGCUAAUGGGAAACAGGUUGAAUAUUCCUGUACCGCUUGUAAAUUGCUUGAGCCGUGGGGGGACGCAGGAGUGAAAGGUCAGGCACGUGUUGGACAUCGUGCUCUAAGCAGGUAGGAGGGUUCCGCAGGCAAAUCCGCGGAGCCAGUACUCUGAGAUGCGAACGGGAGGGCCUAGCCCAUAAACUGACCCUAAUCAAACUGCCAAGAAAAGCCUCGUUCGGCGAGAUUUACAAGCGACCGUACCCCAAACCGACACAGGUAGGCGAGGAGAAUAUCCUAAGGUGCUCGAGAUAGCUCUGGUUAAGGAACUAGGCAAAAUGGCCCCGUAACUUCGGAAGAAGGGGUGCCUUGAUUAGGCGAAGCCCGUUGCGGGUGGAGCCGAAAAAGGCCACAGUUAAGAGGCUUGGGCGACUGUUUACUAAAAACACAGGUCUAUGCUAAGUCGUAAGACGAUGUAUAUGGACUGACACCUGCCCGGUGCCGGAAGGUUAAGGGGAGGGGUUAUCCGCCUUCGGGCGGAGAAGCUCUGAACUGAAGCCCCGGUAAACGGCGGCCGUAACUAUAACGGUCCUAAGGUAGCGAAAUUCCUUGUCGGGUAAGUUCCGACCUGCACGAAUGGUGUAACGACUUAAGCACUGUCUCAACCAGAGCCUCGGCGAAAUUGUAGUCCCGGUGAAGAUGCCGGGUACCCGCGAUUGGACGGAAAGACCCCGUGAACCUUCACUAUAGCUUAACAUUGGGUUUUGACAUAGCAUGUGUAGGAUAGGUGGGAGGCUUUGAAGCCCGGACGCUAGUUCGGGUGGAGCCAUCCUUGAAAUACCACCCUUGUUAUGUUGAAGUCCUAACCCGUUUGCUUGAAUCAGCAAAGGGGACAGUGUUUGGUGGGUAGUUUGACUGGGGCGGUCGCCUCCCAAAAGGUAACGGAGGCGCCCAAAGGUUUCCUCAGCACGGUUGGUAAUCGUGCGUAGAGUGUAAAGGCAUAAGGGAGCCUGACUGCGAGACAAACAAGUCGAGCAGACGCGAAAGCGGGGCUUAGUGAUCCGGCGGUUGUGUAUGGAAACGCCGUCGCUCAACGGAUAAAAGGUACUCCGGGGAUAACAGGCUGAUCGGGUCCAAGAGCUCACAUCGACGACCCGGUUUGGCACCUCGAUGUCGGCUCAUCGCAUCCUGGGGCUGUAUAAGGUCCCAAGGGUUGGGCUGUUCGCCCAUUAAAGCGGUACGUGAGCUGGGUUUAGAACGUCGCGAGACAGUUCGGUCCCUAUCCAUCGCGGGCGCAGGAUAUUUGAGGGAAGCUGCUCUUAGUACGAGAGGACCGGAGUGGGCAAACCUCUAGUGUGCCAGUUGUCACGCCAGUGGCAGUGCUGGGUAGCUAUGUUUGUACGGGAUAAGCGCUGAAAGCAUCUAAGCGCGAAGCCCCUCCCAAGAUAAGAUAUCCCUUCCCGCCUCGGCGGGACUAAAGGCCCCUCAGAGAUGAUGAGGUUGAUAGGCCACAGGUGUACGUGCGGUAACGCAUUUAGCCGAGUGGUACUAAUAGGCCGUGAGGCUUAAC
rnacentral:rRNA from 1 species